UUAUCCGAUAUGUUUUUGGUUAUUUACAUGGAAAUAUUCUUUCCUCGUUUCAGUUUGAUACUUCAAUUUGUAUUCGACAUACUUCGAAUAUCUAUCUCGGAACCGUUAAAAUGGCGUACGUGAUAUCGUCUCCGUUACGUUACAACAUCGUCCUAAGAAUCCGAGAAUAAGACGAACGAGAUGAUGCAUCAUAAGACGUCGACGGAGUUUGAGUUUAACACAUGUCGAGCGAAUAUGUUACGAAACGAGAAGAAAGAAAGAAGGAACGAAAAGAAAAGAAAAGAAAAUAGAAAGAUAAACGAGAAAAGAAAAGGAAAUAACAAAUACAACCAUGAUGAAAACCAUCCAACGGACUAUACUGUUUGCAAUCAUAUCUUCAAUUCUAUUAGAUCCCAUUGUUGUGUUACUACAAGAAACGAAAUGGAUGGGUUAAAAAUUUGAAUAAAACCACUAACUUAGGAAUUUUUGGCUCGUCUGUACAUUUAUUCGAAAAAAAAAAAAA